GCCCACCCAAAAGCCAAGCCAAGGCAGGCCGUGUGUUGUCCCGAAGGCGAAUUCCUUCAGCGACGCGGCGACUCCGAUCACCACCGCCGCCCGCCGCCGUCGCUGCCGCAGCCGAGGCUAGCUCGCCUGGGAGCCAUGUCGCGGUCCAUGAGCAUGAGGUCGCGGCGCGAGCUGCCUCCUCCCGAGAAGACAAUUGAAAAACUUGAGAGUAUGGUGGAAGGAGGAAAUUACUAUGAAGCCCAACAAAUGUACAAGUCAACCAGUGCAAGGUAUAUUGCUGCUCAGAAGCAUUUGGAAGCCUUGGACAUUCUUCAGUCAGGUGCUUUGGUACAAUUGAAGCAUGGGCAGGUAACUUGUGGUGCUGAACUUGCUGUCAUGUUUGUGGACACCCUUGUCAAGGGAGGGCUUCCUUAUAGUGAAGAAACUUUUGAUCGUAUCAGAAAGAUGUACGAGGCUUUCCCCAGGAUAUCUGUUCCCCAUUUCCUUGGAGAUGACUAUGACGAUGAUGGGCAGAAGUUAUCUGAAGCUAUUUCUGCCGCAAAAGUGCGCGCAGAGAGUUGUUCAUCAUUCCUGAAAGCUGCUAUCAGGUGGUCUGCUGAGUUUGGAACAUCAAGGAAUGGAUCUCCUGAGCUGCAUGUUAUGUUAGCAGAAUACAUAUAUUCUGAAUCUCCAGAAACGGACAUGACUAAAGUCUCAAGUCAUUUUGUGCGUGGAAAUGAUCCUAAAAAGUUUGCUUCUAUGCUGGUGAACUUUAUGAGCAAGUGCUACCCUGGUGAAGAUGAUAUUGCAAUUGCACGUGGGGUCCUAAUGUACCUAUCUCAAGGGAAUUUGAGAGAUGCAAAUUUGCUUAUGGAUGAGAUGAAAGCACAACUAAAAUCUGCUGACUCGGAACUUCCAAGAACAGAUUUGAUUCAGUUCAUCAAGUAUCUUUUACCAACGCUUGAAAGAGAUGCUUACCCUCUUUUUAGGACACUUAGACAGAAGUAUAAGACAAGUACAGACCGUGACCCUGUGUUUGAGGAGGAACAAGGAGAAGAGCUUGAAUUUUUUUCCACAGAUAUUGUUACUGGAUGAAAUAGCUGCAAAAUUUUAUAAUAUACGGCGCCAGAACCCACUAGAAGGACUUUUUGGUGAAAUGUUCAAGAUAUAGUUGACGAGGAAAGAAUAUGAUUGUAAUGCCUUAUUCGAAAUCAUUGGCCAAAUAAUACAAUUGCUGCCAUGGCGCCUUCUGUUCUCCAAAGCUUCCUCAGUGAGGAUAACCUGAGGUCAUACAUUUGGCGCCAAAUUAAAUGAAGAUAUAUGCUCCACUGAUCUCUUGUAAAAUCAUUUAUUAGUUUCAAACUUUUGAUGCUUCUGAAAAUUUUGUAUAACUUGUGUGUUUAUAUUACCUAAAUUUCUUUUCACUGGCGUGGGCGCACUUUUGGAAAAUGUAACUUGUACUAAGCCGCUUCGCAAUGAUAAUCUAUUGUAUGCUCA